rnacentral:rRNA from 1 species
UACGUAGGGCGCAAGCGUUGUCCGGAAUUAUUGGGCGUAAAGAGCUCGUAGGUGGCGUGUCGCGUCUGCCGUGAAAGCCCAUGGCUUAACUGUGGGUCUGCGGUGGAUACGGGCAGGCUGGAGGCUGGUAGGGGCAAGCGGAAUUCCUGGUGUAGCGGUGAAAUGCGCAGAUAUCAGGAGGAACACCCGUAGCGAAGGCGGCACUCUGGGCCGAUACUGACACUGAGGAGCGAAAGCGUGGGGAGCGAACAGG